GAUGAGGGACUUCCGGUCUCUCGGCACUUCCGCCCAGGGCCGGAAACUUCGUCGCUGAGAGACCGUGAGGGGCCCGCGGUGCUGAGCCACGGGCUGAGGGCAGAUCUCGUGUUUUGGGUUCCUGAUGUCUUAUAAUGAGUGACAUUUUGCCAUUAGAUGUCAUUGGUAGAAGAGUUGAAGUUAAUGGAGAAUUUGCAACAGUGCGCUUUUGUGGUGAUGUUCCUCCUGUGGCAGGACUCUGGUUAGGAGUCGAAUGGGACAAUCCCGAGAGAGGAAAACAUGAUGGAAGCCAUGAAGGUACUAUGUAUUUUAAAUGCAGGCACCCAACAGGAGGCUCCUUUGUUCGUCCAAACAAAGUUAAUUUUGGAGUAGACUUUCUUACUGCCCUUACGAAGCGUUACGUGCUAGAAGACGGGUCUGAUGAUGAUGGAAAAUCAUGUUCCUUAAAAGUUGGAAGUAAACAAGUGCAAACUGUUGGUUUUGACAGUAUUACAAAGAAGCAGAGUCAGCUGAGAGCACUGCAAAACAUUUCCCUGUGGAAGUGUGCUGUGAGUCACGCUGGUGAACAAGGAAGAAUUGCUGAAGCCUGCCCCAAUAUUCGAGUUGUAAAUUUGUCCAAGAACUUGUUGCCAUCUUGGGUUGAAGUGGUUCUUAUUGCAGAGCAGCUCAACAACCUGGAGGUUCUGGAUCUCAGUGAAAAUAAACUGCAGUUUCCCUCUGACUCACCAACUCCAACUGGAACAUUUUCUAAUCUGAAGAUUUUAGUCCUAAAUAAAAUGGGAAUAACGUGGGCUGAGGUGCUGCGUUGUGCCCCUUCAUGGCCAGUCCUCGAGGAACUUUACCUCAAGUCUAACAGUAUUUCCAUUUCAGAAAGGCCAGUGAACGUUCUGCAGAAGAUGAGGCUUCUAGACCUUUCCUCUAACCCAGCAAUUGAUGAGAGCCAGCUGUGCCUCAUAGCAUAUCUGCCCAGAUUAGAACACCUACUCAUUUCUGACAUUGGACUUUCGUCUAUACAUUUCCCAGAUGCUGGAAUUGGGUGCAAAACAUCCAUGUUCCCGUCCUUGCAGUACCUCGUAGUCAAUGACAACCAAAUAUCAGAAUGGUCAUUUAUCAAUGAGCUAGAUAAAUUACAGAGCCUACAGGCUCUGUCCUGUACUAGAAACCCCUUGACUGAAGGAGACAAAGCAGAGGAGAUCAUCAUUGCCAAGAUCGGUCAGCUGAAGACCCUGAACAGGUGUCAGAUUCUUCCAGAGGAAAGGCGUGGAGCUGAGCUUGAUUACCGAAAAACCUUUGGAAAUGAAUGGAAAAAGGCUGGUGGACAUCCAGAUCCCGACAAAAACAGGCCAAAUGCAGAGUUUCUUUCGGCCCAUCCUAGAUACCAGCUUCUCUGCUGCAGUACGUCCAGAAUAUGGUGCGCCUGAAGAUGAGGAACUCAAAACACAGCAGCCAUUCAUGCUCAGAAAUCAGCUACUAACACUGAAGAUAAAAUGCUCAAACCAAGUUGAACAGAAAGUAUUAGAAAAGCAGUUGCCAGAUUCCAUGACAAUUCAAAAGGUAAAGGGACUGCUGUCACGUCUUUUCAAAGUUCCUGUGUCAGAACUUCUGUUGUCCUAUGAAAGUCCCAAGAUGCCGGGCAGAGAAAUUGAACUAGAAAAUGACCUACAGUCAUUACAGUUUUACUCUGUGGAGAAUGGAGAUUGUCUACUAGUGCGAUGGUAACAGUCCAACCGUAAGAGUUUAGCGACUAGAAUGUUGUACACACCAGAAACAAAAACUUCACCCUCACAAAGGAUGUAUGUUUUGCUGGGAAAGGACCAUUUGGUUGUAUAUUAAUAGAAUAAUAAAGGCUUUGAUUACUAGUGA